UUUCCACAACACUACCUUAAAUUCUCGCUCUAAAAUAUUUACAACGCACAUAGAAAAUAAAAAUACAAAUUUUGCUCACCUGGUAGCGAUCAAUGGACAGGUGAUGCUGGGCGAGGCCCAAGCUUCGGGACUCCAAGGAGCGCAUUCGUACAGCCUCAAUUCCCGACCGGAAACGGCGCCGAAGACGCUGCGCCAUCCACCGGUACAUCCACCACCGAGUGCGAAUCCACUUCCGGCUCCUCGCGAGGUGCUGGCGCUGCUUCCUGCUCCGUCCUCGCUGCUCUCGCUGCUAGCACGUCCUCUCGGGAUCGGAGCUGGGAUGAGCCCUGGUGAGUCUGCAGAGUUGCAGCGGUAGAUAACGCGUAUCCGCCCGCGGUGGUGACUUUGGAGGCGGAGGCGUCGCACUCAGGAAUCCACGCUGUAGCUCCCAGCCAACCUCCUGGAUGAUCGAAGCCUUCCUAAAGUACGGUGUCACUUCCCUCAGGUAUUUCACUGCAACAGAAAAAUGGCCAACU
rnacentral:misc_RNA from 1 species